rnacentral:rRNA from 1 species
GACGAACGCUGGCGGCGUGCUUAACACAUGCAAGUGGAGCGACGAACCGGGCUUCGGCCCGGGGCAAAGCCGCGAACGGGUGAGUAACACGUGGGUAACCUGCCCCGAUGAUUGGGACAACCUCGGGAAACCGAGGCUAAUACCAAAUGUGCUCACGUCCCGCGAGGGACGUGUGGAAAGGAAGCUUCGGCCUCCGCAUCGGGAUGGGCCCGCGGCGCAUUAGCUGGUUGGUGGGGUAAUGGCCUACCAAGGCUUCGAUGCGUAGCUGGUCUGAGAGGACGAUCAGCCACACUGGGACUGAGACACGGCCCAGACUCCUACGGGAGGCAGCAGUGGGGAAUCUUGCGCAAUGCGCGAAAGCGUGACGCAGCAACGCCGCGUGCGGGAAGACGGCCUUCGGGUUGUAAACCGCUUUCAGCAGGGAAGAAGCGAAAGUGACGGUACCUGCAGAAGAAGCACCGGCUAACUACGUGCCAGCAGCCGCAGUAAAAC